GAUGAACGCUGGCGGCGUGCCUAAUACAUGCAAGUCGAGCGAAGCGGGGGCGGGUGAGUAACACGUGGAUAACAUCCUAUAAGACUGGGAUAACUUCGGGAAACAGGAGCUAAACCGGAUACUUAUAGAUGGAUCCGCGCUGAAGUAGCUAGUUGGUAAGGUAACGGCGUACCAAGGCAACGAUGCAUAGCCGACCUUCGAGGGUUGUCUGAAGCACGAGAACGGAUACACGGUCCAGGCUUCGACGGGCGUCGGCAUUAGGGAAGCUUCCGCAAUGGGGGAAAUCCUGACGGAGCAAAGCCGCGUGAGUCAGUAAGGUCUUCGGAUCGUAAAACUCUGUUAUUAGUGAAGCGGUACCUAAGCAGAAAGCAACGGUUAACUACGUUCCAGCAGCCGCGGUAAUAC
rnacentral:rRNA from 1 species